rnacentral:rRNA from 1 species
GGCGGACGGGUGAGUAAUGCUUGGGAACAUGCCUUGAGGUGGGGGACAACAGUUGGAAACGACUGCUAAUACCGCAUAAUGUCUACGGACCAAAGGGGGCUUCGGCUCUCGCCUUUAGAUUGGCCCAAGUGGGAUUAGCUAGUUGGUGAGGUAAGGGCUCACCAAGGCGACGAUCCCUAGCUGGUUUGAGAGGAUGAUCAGCCACACUGGAACUGAGACACGGUCCAGACUCCUACGGGAGGCAGCAGUGGGGAAUAUUGCACAAUGGGGGAAACCCUGAUGCAGCCAUGCCGCGUGUGUGAAGAAGGCCUUCGGGUUGUAAAGCACUUUCAGUAAGGAGGAAAGGUUAGUAGUUAAUACCUGCUAGCUGUGACGUUACUUACAGAAGAAGCACCGGCUAACUCCGUGCCAGCAGCCGCGGUAAUACGGAGGGUGCGAGCGUUAAUCGGAAUUACUGGGCGUAAAGCGUAC